UUGGACCUGAUUUCAGGCAAGAAUUUCCCGCUGAACUUAAGCAUAUCAAUAAGCGGAGGA
rnacentral:rRNA from 1 species